UUUUGUUUUGAAUUCGCGCCAUUUUAUGGCAAAUUAAAAAUUUUUGCGGAACAUUUUAUCUGCAGGCGAGAGGGCCUAUCUGGGAUGGUGACCUCCACGGCUCCAGCAAGCAAUCUAAUGAUAAAAUUACCCCCCGAUCGGCGAUAAUGGCAGUGGGAAACAAGCCGUCGGAAGAUCUGUGACCCUUAAUAGGUAAUCCGUAAGCGGUUGACAUCACAAAGUCCGAGAGCAUCUGUCGCUGGCGGAUUUGGCGUAUAAAAGCAGCUUCCGGUCCACCAUCAUGUCCAAGAAUUUUAUCAUCACGCACCACUAGCAGCAGAUCGAUCGGAGCCUGCUCUCAAAGCCAACAGAGAAACCAUAAGCUACACCGAGACCGUCGUCACGAACGAGCGUAAGCCUGAAGGCCUGAAAAUAAAUUAUACAGAAGGCUUAACCCGGAUUCCGAUCGAGGUGGAAGCUUUUCUGAAAUUGUGAAAAAAAGCUUAAAUGUGAAAAUUUGUUCCAAGUGAAAAAGUUGUGAAAAUGAAAGUG